UGAAAUCGAAUGAUAUGUUGAUGACAUGAUAGCAAAGUCCCAAACAGAAGAGGGGCAUCUGGUAGAUCUGGCCAAGCUGAGUUGACCGGUUGAGAUAACCCAGACUGAGGUUGAAUUCAAAUAAAGUGCACUAUCAGAGUGCGGUCCGGUUAGUUGCUGAGGCUUAUUGUGAGCGGAAGAGAGGAAUCGAGGUUGAUCCUGUUUUAAAAAAANAAAAAAAAAAAAAAAAAAAAAAAAAAGAAAAAAAGAAAAAAAAA
rnacentral:lncRNA from 1 species